UCUUCCCACCCCCAGCACUGUCCUGCCCAGACGCCAGCCUAGGGAGGGGUGAGGAGGAGGCUGCUCUGGCGCUCGGGUCGCCGCACCGCCCCGCAGCCGCGCGCUCUCCGCAGUGACAGCAACCGCAACUGCAGCAGCACCCAGCUCCAUCCUCACCAGCCUGGCCCGAGCCGCAGCCCGGCAAUUCGGGCUGAGGAGCGACAAACAGAAGGUGUGCAGGUGCCCCGAGUCCCCCUGACCGAAGCGCAAGAAACCGGGAGUGGGCUAGCGGCGGUAUGGCACCGAGGGGACUGAGAAAAAGAGGACUGGAGACCAUGAAGCGAUUCAGGCAGGGGUAGGAUUGAGCCCCCGAAUCCGCCCAGAGGACUUUGGCAGGGUCUGGGGCCACCAGGGUGGCUUCAAGGGAUCGGAGGGCUCUGACCACUGCAGAUGCGGCUCGUGUGGGUGCGGUGAAGGCACCCCCUUUUCCCAGGAUCUAAACGGAUAAACGGAAGCGAGUAUGUGGCUUCUCUUAGCUGAAUAAUCCGUUAAAGGAAUAAUAAUUUUUAAAAAGGACCUCGGCCUCACCCAACGAGGACAGUGAAAGAGAUCAGCUUUUGAUCUGCCUUUGGGUUGGACUGACUGAAACGCUGCGGACUGCAACCAGGGUCUUUUAAAGGAGAACAAAAAAGAUGAGGAUCUUGUGCGGGGCUCCGGGACAAAGCGUCUUGAGACGCGCUGAACUCUGGCUCCCCGAUUGGAGAGAUCAACGCUGCCCAACAGUACCAGGCAGGACCUGCGGACCUCCGAGGCGAGAGGACCGCAGCAGGAGAGUUCCGGAAGGCUGAUUCCCACAGAUCCUGGUAAGGGACCGCAGCAGCUCUGCCCUGCGGCACGCCCGGCCAGGCUGCACCAGGACUCUACACUCGAGGAAAAAGCUUGGAAACGAAAGGAUGCGAGAGAACAAAGAGCCUACGGAGGACGUGGCUGUUAUCUCAUUGUCUGUGACUGGGGGAACUGCGGUAGGAAGGAUGCGGUGGUCCUUAGCUCAUCGCGUUCCCCAACCCCACACCCUCCCUGCUGUCAGUGCACACUCACGCGUCGCCAGCAUCUUCUUUCUCAUCCCUCGCUUUUUUCAUUUCAUCUUCUCCCCAUCCCCUCCCUUUCUUUCCACCUUUCCUUUCUCCCUCCCUCCCUUUCUUCCCCCUCCCUCCUCCCUUUAUCCCACUCUCCCUCCCUCCCUUCCUUCCAUCCUUCCUUCCUUUCCAUCUUUCUUUCUGUCCUUCCUUCUUCCUUCCUCAGGAGAAAGGCCUCUCUCUCCGUGUUCACAGCGGACCUUGAUUUAAAUGUCCAUACAAUUAAGGCACGCGGUGAAUGCCAAGAAUGGGGCUGUCUGAGCACCUUGGGUCCACGAGGGCCUGCCACGGAAGGAUCGACCCAGCACAACGCCCUGGGCUAAUCUCAGCGCUGCAGCUGCAGGCGCCCACAGUAGGGGUAGCAGGCUUCUUAGUGCCUCGCAAUGUAGCCCUUAGGGUGGGGAGGUGUGCAGCUACCGACUGAGAGGGGUUUGUGCAGAUGCAAAUAGAAUCUAGGAAGCAAA